rnacentral:rRNA from 1 species
GAUGAACGCUGGCGGCGUGCCUAAUACAUGCAAGUCGAGCGAACGGACGAGAAGCUUGCUUCUCUGAUGUUAGCGGCGGACGGGUGAGUAACACGUGGAUAACCUACCUAUAAGACUGGGAUAACUUCGGGAAACCGGAGCUAAUACCGGAUAAUAUUUUGAACCGCAUGGUUCAAAAGUGAAAGACGGUCUUGCUGUCACUUAUAGAUGGAUCCGCGCUGCAUUAGCUAGUUGGUAAGGUAACGGCUUACCAAGGCAACGAUGCAUAGCCGACCUGAGAGGGUGAUCGGCCACACUGGAACUGAGACACGGUCCAGACUCCUACGGGAGGCAGCAGUGGGGAAUCUUCCGCAAUGGGCGAAAGCCUGACGGAGCAACGCCGCGUGAGUGAUGAAGGUCUUCGGAUCGUAAAACUCUGUUAUUAGGGAAGAACAUAUGUGUAAGUAACUGUGCACAUCUUGACGGUACCUAAUCAGAAAGCCACGGCUAACUACGUGCCAGCAGCCGCGGUAAUACGUAGGUGGCAAGCGUUAUCCGGAAUUAUUGGGCGUAAAGCGCGCGUAGGCGGUUUUUUAAGUCUGAUGUGAAAGCCCACGGCUCAACCGUGGAGGGUCAUUGGAAACUGGAAAACUUGAGUGCAGAAGAGGAAAGUGGAAUUCCAUGUGUAGCGGUGAAAUGCGCAGAGAUAUGGAGGAACACCAGUGGCGAGGGCGACUUUCUGGUCUGUAACUGACGCUGAUGUGCGAAAGCGUGGGGAUCAAACAGGAUUAGAUACCCUGGUAGUCCACGCCGUAAACGAUGAGUGCUAAGUGUUAGGGGGUUUCCGCCCCUUAGUGCUGCAGCUAACGCAUUAAGCACUCCGCCUGGGGAGUACGACCGCAAGGUUGAAACUCAAAGGAAUUGACGGGGACCCGCACAAGCGGUGGAGCAUGUGGUUUAAUUCGAAGCAACGCGAAGAACCUUACCAAAUCUUGACAUCCUUUGACAACUCUAGAGAUAGAGCUUUCCCCUUCGGGGGACAAAGUGACAGGUGGUGCAUGGUUGUCGUCAGCUCGUGUCGUGAGAUGUUGGGUUAAGUCCCGCAACGAGCGCAACCCUUAAGCUUAGUUGCCAUCAUUAAGUUGGGCACUCUAAGUUGACUGCCGGUGACAAACCGGAGGAAGGUGGGGAUGACGUCAAAUCAUCAUGCCCCUUAUGAUUUGGGCUACACACGUGCUACAAUGGACAAUACAAAGGGCAGCGAAACCGUGAGGUCAAGCAAAUCCCAUAAAGUUGUUCUCAGUUCGGAUUGUAGUCUGCAACUCGACUACAUGAAGCUGGAAUCGCUAGUAAUCGUAGAUCAGCAUGCUACGGUGAAUACGUUCCCGGGUCU